rnacentral:rRNA from 1 species
UACGUAGGGUGCAAGCGUUGUCCGGAAUCAUUGGGCGUAAAGCGCGCGUAGGCGGCCCGGUAAGUCCGCUCUGAAAGUCCAGGGCUCAACCCUGGAAAGCGGGUGGAUACUGCCGGGCUAGAAUCCGGAAGAGGCGAGUGGAAUUCCUGGUGUAGCGGUGGAAUGCGCAGAUAUCAGGAGGAACACCAAUAGCGAAGGCAGCUCGCUGGGACGGUAUUGACGCUAAGGCGUGAAAGCGUGGGGAGCAAACAGG